CGCGAAUUUUUUCUUUCCUUAUACAAUUGAAAUACCUAUGGUAACCUAAUUUUUCACGGGAUAUAAAUAUCAAAAACAUUCCAGAGACGCCCGGAACGUAAUUGGAGGCCGAAAAACAACUCUUGGAGAGGAUUUGAGCGCAAGAACAAAAAUUGGCACGAAGAACUUCUAGAUUUAUUCAAGUUUUAUAACCCGGUGAUGUCUUAUAUAUAAACUUUAAUGUAUUUUGUUAUUUUAAGCAUGCUAGGCUAGAUUUAUUAUGCUAGGAGAUCGAUGAACCAUGUGAUUUGAAUUUUAAUAUUCUAGUUUUGCAAUUUGAUAUUAAGACACAAUUUUUA
rnacentral:lncRNA from 1 species